GACGAACGCUGGCGGCGUGCUUAACACAUGCAAGUCGAACGAAGUGGCGAACGGGUGAGUAAUACGUGGGUAACCUGCCCUCCUUUUUGGGAUAAGCCUUGGAAACGGGGUCUAAUACCGAAUAAAGGGGGCUGGGGUCGCGGCAUAUCAGCUGGUUGGUGGGGUGAUGCCCUACCAAGGCGGUGUCGGGUAGCCGGCCUGAGCGGGUGACGGGCAACGUAGGGACGGGGAGACGGCCCCGGCGGCUACGGGAGGGAGCAGUUGGGGAUAUUGCGCAAGGGGCGUGAGCCGGAGGCAGGGACGCGGCGAGGGGGAUGAAGUCUUACAGGUUGUAAACCUGUUUCGAUAUCGUACGGGUAGGUGGAGAAGAAGCGCCGGCUAACUACGUGCCAGCAGCCGCGGUAAUUG
rnacentral:rRNA from 1 species